UACGUAGGGGGCAAGCGUUGUCCGGAAUCAUUGGGCGUAAAGAGCUCGUAGGCGGUCUGUCGCGUCGGCUGUGAAAACCCGGAGCUCAACUCCGGGCCUGCAGUCGAUACGGGCAGACUGGAGUACUGCAGGGGAGACUGGAAUUCCUGGUGUAGCGGUGAAAUGCGCAGAUAUCAGGAGGAACACCGGUGGCGAAGGCGGGUCUCUGGGCAGUUACUGACGCUGAGGAGCGAAAGCGUGGGGAGCGAACAGG
rnacentral:rRNA from 1 species